ACGGAAGGCAGCAGUGGGGAAUAUUGCACAAUGGGGGAAACCCUGAUGCAGCGACGCCGCGUGAGUGAAGAAGUUAUUCGUAAUGUAAAGCUCUAUCAGCAGGGAAGAAAAUGACGGUACCUGACUAAGAAGCCCCGGCUAACUACGUGCCAGCAGCCGCGGUAAUACGUAGGGGGCAAGCGUUAUCCGGAUUUACUGGGUGUAAAGGGAGCGUAGACGGUCUGGCAAGUCUGAUGUGAAAGGCAGGGGCUCAACUCCUGGACUGCAUUGGAAACUGUCAGUCUUGAGUGCCGGAGAGGUAAGCGGAAUUCCUAGUGUAGCGGUGAAAUGCGUGGAUAUUAGGAGGAACACCAGUGGCGAAGGCGGCUUACUGGACGGUAACUGACGUUGAGGCUCGAAAGCGUGGGGAGCAAACAGGAUUAGAUACCCUGGUA
rnacentral:rRNA from 1 species